AUGGAUGGAUGGAUGGUAUGUUUUCUGGCCCAAAAUUGGCCCAAGUCUUUAACUAGUUUUAGACACUGAGGGAAGAAAGUUAUGUGGAAUUAGCUCAUGUCAUGCAUUGUAUCUUCCAUUCAGCUUGACCGCAUACUGAUAUCUGUUUUAAGAUGGCCAGUCUGAACUCACUUCAGUCAUGUUGUACUUUCAUGUGUUUUAUCUGGGUUGACUAGCCACUGUUUUUCUGCUCCCUAACUGCGGUGAGCGGACCAUCUUGUUCAUGCUGGUGACAGCAUCUCACUGUGAUUUUUAAAAUAUUUGCUCUGCGCUGUGACUGCUCCAAGCUAGUGUUAUGAAGCAAACAAAGAUAAUCUGCCCUCAGGGGAAAUUAUGGCUCAGAUAUUGAUACUGUAUAACACACUGAUCCCUCUGUGGGUAGUUGUCACUGUGACUUUAUCUGUCCUGUGGCCCACAGCAAAACAGACUGACCAUGUGGCAAGAAGACUCAUUACUUCACUUUACAGGCUGUCAUAACACUGACAGCCCCGGGGAACAUUCCUGAGGCGAAAGCAAAGAGAACAAAGCAGAAGCUGUAAAUCUGUCCUAUUCUAGUCACCUUCUUCUGAUGGAAGACAUCUAUAUAUCUCCAAAACAGGAGGAGUGAAACCUGGAGAGACGGUAUGAUGAAACACAAAGUGAAAUAUGGAUAAUGUUAAUUCUUGAUUUAGGUCAUCAGAACUGCAGGGAGCUGGAACAGAUCUCUCCUGGUGGUUGGUCAUUAAAACUCAAUAUAACAGCUUUCUAUUGAACCUAUGCUAUUGGACCGAACAAACAUUGGAGUCACUUCUGACACACAGUGUACAUUUAAUAUUAUGACUUACAUCUAAGUAUGACAGUUCUUCUUCAGAUAGAAGAAUUUUUGAUAAAUGGGUUGACAAUUAUGUAAGAUUAAUCUUGUGGAACAAUUUUAAAGUGCUCAAGGUAAUGUAAUUUUAAUUCAUAAGCAUCUUUUUAGCAAAAAGGCAAUUCAAAGAGUUUAAGAAGGGUUAAAAUUUUCUAAGCUGGGGAGGGGAAACAUUUCACAGAGGAACGAAAUUCAACAAGCUUGCUGAAAGAUUUGGUUCAAAUUUAAGAAGUAAACUUAAGUUGAAGCUUCUUUUACCUAUGGCAUAAAAUCUACCCAUGACAGCUGAAAGUUAGAGACCAUGUAAAAGAGUCGACUGUAGAACAAAACUGCAGCACUAUUUAAUUCCAUAUCAUAUACCUGUUCAAUUUAAAUCGAUGGGCUUGACAUAAGAUCUAAUAGGAAACAAACUGCUGACAGGUUAAUGUACGACUUUUAAAACAAAUUCCUUAUUUGGUCCUUAAUAAAUAAUUUGACAUAUUAUGAUAUUCUAGAUGAAUAGCAUAAUGUUAAAUUGAAGGUGGAAUCAGGAGAAGAGAUUUUAUGACAAUUAUGUAAUAAGCUGUACAGAGAAAAAGUUUUCAUCACAUUUGUAAAACUAAAUUGGGACCUAUCGAUAAUUGGCGGUUGUGUACUAAAAAUAAACUAAAUAGUUGAUGAAUAUUUGAUUUGGACAUUUAAAUUGACAUUUUUCUUUUUCAUAGUGGGGUAAUUAUGGUCAUAGGGGGGUAUUUCACAAUUAUACCUAGCCAUUGCAUAAGCACUGUGUGGUAGAUAUGACUCAUUUAAUAAUGUGAAUAGUUAAGCUUCACAGCGCUGGAUUGAAUUAAAGGGUAUCCAGCAUAUCGGACCAGACAAUGUUUCUACACAUUCACAAACAAAUUAGAUGUUCCUAGAUCUUUUGAGUGAAGAUGGAUGUCUUCCCCAGAGGAGAAGGGGGUUUCUGAUUCUCUUGCUAUUCACCAUUGCUUCUUUUCUUGUUUCUCUUGCAUGAGAACCUUGAUCAAUAAAUUAGUACAAUCCCAAACAUAACUCAAUCCCAUUUAAUGUAUAUUCUCAUCAGAACUAUGUUUCAGAAUCUGCAAUCAGGUAGGGAUGUUUGCCCAGGAGCAUGGCUGAGUCUGAGUACUGGCUGAGUGAGUUGAAGCAACAAUAUUCGUUGAGUUGAGAAUUGAUUAUUCAUAAUUGUUACAUCCUUCAUGAAAUGUUCCUUACGGUUUGAUUGUUACUGUGACGUUGUUUUGGUGGUUAUUUUAUUUAUGUGUUUUUAUUUUUUUGUUAUUUUGCAUCUCGAUGGAGUCGUGGUUCCUGGACAACCAUGCGGACUGUGAACAAGCGGACUGUGAUAACAGGGGGAACUGACACCGUUAGGUUGCAAAGGUGAUGUCAUUAUUAUGCAUCUAGAUGGAUAAUUUGAUUCUGCAUGAUUCGGAUCAACCACGUUAGAUGUUGUGAGAACCGUUUUCUUUUUAUCAGAUUCCUUUAUUGUGUUGUCACAGUUUUAUUUGAUUCUGAUUUACGAUGUUCCUUCAGUGAGUGAUAGUGGGGAGGAAUGUAGAAGUGGUAAUAAUAUGACAUGGACAAUAUGUUAAAUGAAAUGUAUAUGGAAGGUCCUCAUGCGCAGGUCACAUGUGAGUUAUUAAUGGGACUUUAGAAUCCAAUAAGGAGCAUCAAGGAUUUCUCCAUACAAGCAAUGAAGACCUUUAAUUGGAACAURUUGUACUAUAAGAUACUGCUCAGUUUUYCUGUCUUCUCAGGGCAACCAGAGUGACUGGCGGUUCAGGGACCCUAUGUGUGUUGGACUCAGAGACUCAUGGACAUGGGAAUUUGUUGGGGCCCUGAACCCAAUUGGACAAUAAGAAGGCAGAGUAAUAAAAUCAAAGAAACAUCAACCUGGAACAGCAAUUUGCUUCUGCGACCGAGGACAGGAACUGUACUACACAACGCUGUACUGCAUCGCUGCUGAGAAGUCAAGCCUACUACUACUCUGUUCAAACCAAGCUGAUUGUCCUAUGAUGGUGUUUGAGUAGAAAUCAUUAUGGGUACCAUGGUCAUUGAUUUCACUGGUGCCUGAGGGUGGCUGCCUAGGAGGGCCAUAGGAUAAUUUUUUCCCUCAGAUGAAAGGAUUGUCGGAGAGGGUUUUUUGAUCCUAUACCAAUGGAACCUAUGACCAUGGGAGAGCAAUGCCAUACGAGUUAACUAGAAAAUAAGUGUACUUAUUUUAGGGGGGAAUGUAGAAGAAUAUAAUUAUAUUAAUAGUUAAAAGUUAUGUUAAUUCACAUUAAGAUAUGUUUUACUGAAAAGGAAUGUAUUAUGUCGAAUGUCCAGGUCAAUCUGACCCAGUAAGUUGUUGUGGAAGGAAUUCCUAGCAAGUGUCUUUUCAUUAUGUCGGAGCCGAAAUAUUAUUAAUUGAGUAGUUAUUGCAGAAGAUUUUGGUGUGUCUCUUUUCCUUCCAUUGUGCGUUGCACGCAAAUGGAACGAAAACAGAACAUGGAAAGGAUGUCUGUUUGGACAGAUAAGAACUAACAAUCUGACUAAUGGUCCUCUGAAGGAGCAGAUUUAACUUCCACGAGGUCAAACCCAGAAUUCUCGGAACUUCCAAUACACACUCAAUGUAAAACAGAGCCAGAAGCAAGAUUCAGAAUGCCAUUGGUCAGACAGUUUCCAAUACACAAUAGCAGACUGAAACGGUAUAAA